rnacentral:rRNA from 1 species
CCUACGGGUGGCUGCAGUGGGGAAUAUUGCACAAUGGGCGCAAGCCUGAUGCAGCCAUGCCGCGUGUGUGAAGAAGGCCUUCGGGUUGUAAAGCACUUUCAGCGGGGAGGAAGGCGGUGAGGUUAAUAACCUCAUCGAUUGACGUUACCCGCAGAAGAAGCACCGGCUAACUCCGUGCCAGCAGCCGCGGUAAUACGGAGGGUGCAAGCGUUAAUCGGAAUUACUGGGCGUAAAGCGCACGCAGGCGGUCUGUCAGGUCGGAUGUGAAAUCCCCGGGCUCAACCUGGGAACUGCAUUCGAAACUGGCAGGCUAGAGUCUUGUAGAGGGGGGUAGAAUUCCAGGUGUAGCGGUGAAAUGCGUAGAGAUCUGGAGGAAUACCGGUGGCGAAGGCGGCCCCCUGGACAAAGACUGACGCUCAGGUGCGAAGGCGUGGGGAGCAAACAGGAUUAGAUACCCGGGUAGUC